GGGGGGCCCAGAGCGUGAAUCAGUGUGGGGUUGUGUGGAAGGGUCUGGAAAGGCGCGCGAUACAGGGUGACAGCCCCGUACACAAAAAUACACAUAUUGUGAGCUCGAUGAGUAGGGCGGGACACGUGGUAUCCUGUCUGAAUAUGGGGGGACCAUCCUCCAAGGCUAAAUACUCCUGACUGACCGAUAGUGAACCAGUACCGUGAGGGAAAGGCGAAAAGAACCCCGGCGAGGGGAGUGAAAAAGAACCUGAAACCGUGUACGUACAAGCAGUGGGAGCACGCUUAGGCGUGUGACUGCGUACCUUUUGUAUAAUGGGUCAGCGACUUAUAUUCUGUAGCAAGGUUAACCGAAUAGGGGAGCCGAAGGGAAACCGAGUCUUAACUGGGCGUUAAGUUGCAGGGUAUAGACCCGAAACCCGGUGAUCUAGCCAUGGGCAGGUUGAAGGUUGGGUAACACUAACUGGAGGACCGAACCGACUAAUGUUGAAAAAUUAGCGGAUGACUUGUGGCUGGGGGUGAAAGGCCAAUCAAACCGGGAGAUAGCUGGUUCUCCCCGAAAGCUAUUUAGGUAGCGCCUCGUGAAUUCAUCUCCGGGGGUAGAGCACUGUUUCGGCAAGGGGGUCAUCCCGACUUACCAACCCGAUGCAAACUGCGAAUACCGGAGAAUGUUAUCACGGGAGACACACGGCGGGUGCUAACGUCCGUCGUGAAGAGGGAAACAACCCAGACCGCCAGCUAAGGUCCCAAAGUCAUGGUUAAGUGGGAAACGAUGUGGGAAGGCCCAGACAGCCAGGAUGUUGGCUUAGAAGCAGCCAUCAUUUAAAGAAAGCGUAAUAGCUCACUGGUCGAGUCGGCCUGCGCGGAAGAUGUAACGGGGCUAAACCAUGCACCGAAGCUGCGGCAGCGACGCUUAUGCGUUGUUGGGUAGGGGAGCGUUCUGUAAGCCUGCGAAGGUGUGCUGUGAGGCAUGCUGGAGGUAUCAGAAGUGCGAAUGCUGACAUAAGUAACGAUAAAGCGGGUGAAAAGCCCGCUCGCCGGAAGACCAAGGGUUCCUGUCCAACGUUAAUCGGGGCAGGGUGAGUCGACCCCUAAGGCGAGGCCGAAAGGCGUAGUCGAUGGGAAACAGGUUAAUAUUCCUGUACUUGGUGUUACUGCGAAGGGGGGACGGAGAAGGCUAUGUUGGCCGGGCGACGGUUGUCCCGGUUUAAGCGUGUAGGCUGGUUUUCNNGCGGAUGGAGCUGAAAUCAGUCGAAGAUACCAGCUGGCUGCAACUGUUUAUUAAAAACACAGCACUGUGCAAACACGAAAGUGGACGUAUACGGUGUGACGCCUGCCCGGUGCCGGAAGGUUAAUUGAUGGGGUCAGCGCAAGCGAAGCUCUUGAUCGAAGCCCCGGUAAACGGCGGCCGUAACUAUAACGGUCCUAAGGUAGCGAAAUUCCUUGUCGGGUAAGUUCCGACCUGCACGAAUGGCGUAAUGAUGGCCAGGCUGUCUCCACCCGAGACUCAGUGAAAUUGAACUCGCUGUGAAGAUGCAGUGUACCCGCGGCAAGACGGAAAGACCCCGUGAACCUUUACUAUAGCUUGACACUGAACAUUGAGCCUUGAUGUGUAGGAUAGGUGGGAGGCUUUGAAGUGUGGACGCCAGUCUGCAUGGAGCCGGCCUUGAAAUACCACCCUUUAAUGUUUGAUGUUCUAACGUGGACCCGUGAUCCGGGUUGCGGACAGUGUCUGGUGGGUAGUUUGACUGGGGCGGUCUCCUCCUAAAGAGUAACGGAGGAGCACGAAGGUUGGCUAAUCCUGGUCGGACAUCAGGAGGUUAGUGCAAUGGCAUAAGCCAGCUUGACUGCGAGCGUGACGGCGCGAGCAGGUGCGAAAGCAGGUCAUAGUGAUCCGGUGGUUCUGAAUGGAAGGGCCAUCGCUCAACGGAUAAAAGGUACUCCGGGGAUAACAGGCUGAUACCGCCCAAGAGUUCAUAUCGACGGCGGUGUUUGGCACCUCGAUGUCGGCUCAUCACAUCCUGGGGCUGAAGUAGGUCCCAAGGGUAUGGCUGUUCGCCAUUUAAAGUGGUACGCGAGCUGGGUUUAGAACGUCGUGAGACAGUUCGGUCCCUAUCUGCCGUGGGCGCUGGAGAACUGAGGGGGGCUGCUCCUAGUACGAGAGGACCGGAGUGGACGCAUCACUGGUGUUCGGGUUGUCAUGCCAAUGGCACUGCCCGGUAGCUAAAUGCGGAAGAGAUAAGUGCUGAAAGCAUCUAAGCACGAAACUUGCCCCGAGAUGAGUUCU
rnacentral:rRNA from 1 species